UGUGAAUAUUUUUCAUCUAAAGAAAAUGAGGUAAAUCAGUUCUUAAACUAUAUAUUUUUUUAUCCAUAUUUUAACUACCACACAUAUAGUAUAGAGUUUCUUCAUCACUAGUCUGUGCAUUAGUAGCCCUACACAUGUAUCUUGAUUUUCAUGAGAAUUAAUAAAGAUAGCCCAAAUCCCAUAUCCGCAGUCAUGUAUGGA
rnacentral:lncRNA from 1 species